GACGAACGCUGGCGGCGUGCUUAACACAUGCAAGUCGAACGGAAAGGCCCUGCUUUUGUGGGGUGCUCGAGUGGCGAGCGGGUGAGUAACACGUGAGUAACCUGCACUUGACUUUGGGAGAACUUCAGGAGACUGGGGCUAAUACCGGAUAGGAGCUCCUGCUGCAUGGUGGGGGUUGGAAAGUGUCGGCGGUUGGGGAUGGACUCGCGGCUUAUCAGCUUGAUGGUGGGGUAGUGGCAUACCAAGGCUGUGACGGGUAGGCCGCCUGAGAGGGUGACCGGCCACCUUGGUACUAAGAUACGGCCCAGACUCCUACGGGAGGCAGCAGGCGGGAACCUUGCACAAUGGGCGGAAGUCAGAUGCAGCAACGCCGCGUGCGGGAUGACCGCCUUCGGGUUGUAAACCGCUGUCGCCUGUGACGAAGAGUGCGUGACGGUAAUGGGUAAAGAAGCACCGGCUAACUACGUG
rnacentral:rRNA from 1 species